CUGGGCUCCAGUUCGAUCCUGGAACUCAAGUCUGGAGGAGCUCCCUCAGACAUCUUCCUUGAGAAGGUCAUGUGAAUUGCUGAAGUCCAGUAGUAAUAACAAAAAGAAGAUGACUGGUGAUGGCUUGGGAUGCAGUGGAAGAUUGAAAAAUACUAUGAAAAUGCUGCCAGGACCCACUAGCCAUGAAGUCCUUCAAAUACCAGUUAUAGAUUGAUGGCUAAAUUCGGAGAGAUUCUUCAUUCAAGGGCUGGCCAUAAGAUGAUUGAUUUUGAGGGACAUAACUCACAGAGACUAUCUAUUAAUAAAAGGGUUACAUCCUAUAUUGAUGCCUCCACUGAUAAAAUCACAGACUCUGAAGUAAGUUAGGGAAGUCCUGACAGAGAAGUGAUAAGAUCUAAAUGAGUGAGGAGAAAAAUAAAUAUAAUUAAAA